rnacentral:rRNA from 1 species
GACGAACGCUGGCGGCGUGCUUAACACAUGCAAGUCGAACGAAGAGCGAUGGAAGCUUGCUUCUAUCAAUCUUAGUGGCGAACGGGUGAGUAACGCGUAAUCAACCUGCCCUUCAGAGGGGGACAACAGUUGGAAACGACUGCUAAUACCGCAUACGAUCUAAUCUCGGCAUCGAGGAUAGAUGAAAGGUGGCCUCUACAUGUAAGCUAUCACUGAAGGAGGGGAUUGCGUCUGAUUAGCUAGUUGGAGGGGUAACGGCCCACCAAGGCGAUGAUCAGUAGCCGGUCUGAGAGGAUGAACGGCCACAUUGGGACUGAGACACGGCCCAGACUCCUACGGGAGGCAGCAGUGGGGAAUCUUCCGCAAUGGACGAAAGUCUGACGGAGCAACGCCGCGUGAGUGAUGACGGCCUUCGGGUUGUAAAGCUCUGUUAAUCGGGACGAAAGGCCUUCUUGCGAAUAGUGAUAAGGAUUGACGGUACCGGAAUAGAAAGCCACGGCUAACUACGU